rnacentral:rRNA from 1 species
GACGAACGCUGGCGGCGUGCUUAACACAUGCAAGUCGAACGGAAAGGCCCUGCGUUUGUGGGGUGCUCGAGUGGCGAACGGGUGAGUAACACGUGAGUAACCUGCCCUUGACUUUGGGGUAACUUCGGGAAACUGGGGCUAAUACCGGAUAGGAGCUCCUGCUGCAUGGUGGGGGUUGGAAAGUUUCGGCGGUCGGGGCUGGACUCGCGGCUGAUGAGCUUGUUGGUGGGGUAGGGGCAUACCAAGGCAUUGACGGGUAGCCGGCCUGGGAGGGUGGCCGGCCACAUUGGGACUGCGAGACGGCCCAGACUCCUACGGGAGGCAGCAGUCGGGAAUAUUGCACAAUGGGCGGGAGCCUGAUGCAGCAACGCCGCGUGCGGGAUGACGGCCUUCGGGUUGUAAACCGCUUUCGCCUGUGACGAAGCGUGAGUGACGGUAAUGGGUAAAGAAGCACCGGCUAACUACGUG